CUUUGAUAGCACCGGUAGAGUUCACAAGCUGCUGGGUCUGAUUCAAGGCUUGUGAACUCUACCGGUGCUAUGAAACU